AAGCCCGUGAUAACGUUCCGGAUUAUUGAGCGUAAGGGCUCGUAGGCGGUUCGUCGCGUCCGGUGUGAAAGUCCAUCGCUUAACGGUGGAUCCGCGCCGGGUACGGGCGGGCUUGAGUGCGGUAGGGGAGACUGGAAUUCCCGGUGUAACGGUGGAAUGUGUAGAUAUCGGGAAGAACACCAAUGGCGAAGGCAGGUCUCUGGGCCGUUACUGACGCUGAGGAGCGAAAGCGUGGGGAGCGAACAGGAUUAGAUACCCUGGUAGUCCACGCCGUAAACGGUGGAUGCUGGAUGUGGGGCCCUUUCCACGGGUUCCGUGUCGGAGCUAACGCGUUAAGCAUCCCGCCUGGGGAGUACGGCCGCAAGGCUAAAACUCAAAGAAAUUGACGGGGGCCCGCACAAGCGGCGGAGCAUGCGGAUUAAUUCGAUGCAACGCGAAGAACCUUACCUGGGCUUGACAUGUGCCUGUCGGCGGCGGAAACGUCGCUUCCCUUCGGGGCGGGUUCACAGGUGGUGCAUGGUCGUCUUCAGCUCGUGUCGUGAGAUGUUGGGUUAAGUCCCGCAACUAGCGCAACCCUCGCCGCAUGUUGCCAGCACGUCAUGAUGGGAACUCAUGCGGGACCGCCGGGGUCAACUCGGAUGAAGGUGGGGAUGACUUCAGAUCAUCUUGCCCCUUACGUCCAGGGCUUCACGCAUGCUACAAUGGCCGGUACAACGCGAUGCGACAUGGUGACAUGGGGCGGAUCGCUGAAAACCGGUCUCAGUUCGGAUCGCAGUCUGCAACUCGACUGCGUGAAGGCGGAGUCGCUAGUAAUCGCGGAUCAGCAACGCCGCGGUGAAUGCGUUCCCGGGCCUUGUACACACCGCCCGUCAAGUCAUGAAAGUGGGCAGCACCCGAAGCCGGUGGCCCAACCGCUUUCGCGGGGGGAAGCCGUCUCAAGGGGGGGUCCGCACGU
rnacentral:rRNA from 1 species